rnacentral:lncRNA from 1 species
ACCUUAUGUAACUUGAGUCUCUCCUUAUACAGCAUGAAUAUCAAUAUCAUACAAAGAUCCCACAUCAGAAUGUGACUAAUUCGUCUAAACAAUUUUUGGAUCAAGGAUCGCAAUUAAGCUCUAAUACCACUUGUAAGUUCAAAUUAUUGUUCAUUUAAACCAAUAUGCAAAAUUAAACAAUUAAAAACAACAAAUCGCUUAUUAAUAAUUUUUAGAUAAUUAAGUCAUUAAAUCCAAUUUAACCCUAUAUUUGAACAAUCAUAAUGGAUCAAAAGCAGUAAAUAAAUACGAAUACCAAGUAUGAUCAUGGAGAAAAACCCAUUGGCAAAAGGAUAAAAAACACUAAGCUUGAACCAGUAACAAUCCACUAAAAAGUUAACUUAUAACCAUUUCAGACAAUGCUAAACUUUAGCUUACUCUGAUCGCCUAGCUUGUAAAUCACAAAGGAACUCUAUUGAUUUUGCAUGCCUGCACUUCCCAAAACUCCAUCGGAACUCAAAGUGGCUCUUCCCAAAAUUUCGAAACUCUGAAGGCUAAUUGGUGAAGGUAAGGAUAGGUUUUGUUGUUUGAUCAAAUGAUUUUAAUGUGUUUUGAUCUUGUUGGAUGUAGAAAAAAAGCUAUAGCUCAAUCAACCCAACAAUGUUUUGGAUGAAUUUAUGGAUAAUCAAUGAAGGAGUUGAAUCAAGAGAACUUUGAAUAUGUUGUUUGAUCUUCAAUAAUGUGUUCUCUAUAAUGAAAGAAUA